rnacentral:rRNA from 1 species
AUUGAACGCUGGCGGCAGGCCUAACACAUGCAAGUCGAACGAGUGCCGGACGGGUGAGUCAUGUCUGGGAAUCUGCCUGAUGGAUGGCGAUAACUACUGGAAACGGUAGCUACUACCGCUUACUCUCAGAUGUGCUCUGAUGGGUUUAGCUCGUUGGUGGGGUAACGGCUCACCUGGGCUGCUAUCCCUAGCUGGUCUGAGAGGAUUACCAGCCACACUUGAACGUGGAAACGUGCCAGACUCCUGCGGGCGGCAGCAGUGGGGAUUAUUGCACAAUGGGCGCAAGCCUGAUUCAGACAGGCCGGGGGUAUGAUGAAGGCCUUCGGGUUGUAAAGUACUUUCAGCGAGGAGGCGUUACCCGCAGAAGAAGCGCCGGCUAACUCCGUGCCAGCCGCCGCGGUAAUAC